UACGUAGGGGGCAAGCGUUAUCCGGAUUUACUGGGUGUAAAGGGGGCGCAGACGGUGAUGCAAGUCUGAGGUGAAAUCCCACGGCUCAACUGUGGAAUUGCCUUGGAAACUGUAACACUUGAGUGCUGGAGAGGUAAGCGGAAUUCCUGGUGUAGCGGUGAAAUGCGUAGAUAUCAGGAAGAACAUCAGUGGCGAAGGCGGCUUACUGGACAGCAACUGACGUUGAGGCCCGAAAGCGUGGGGAGCAAAC
rnacentral:rRNA from 1 species